rnacentral:lncRNA from 1 species
AGGAAAUUGCUCUGGAGGCUAUGGAUCAUCACUGGGCAGUGGCAUUCUCCUCCUCCCAGCCCUGUCAUGGGUGAGAUGUGACAGGACCCCAGGUUCACAGCCUCCCACCCCCUGCUCCAGCCCAGGAGGAGUUUCUCUCCUGACCCUGUCCUCCUAUCCCCCCACCCACAGAGAGUCUAGACCUAGGUUGGCAGUGGUGCAGGGGACUCACAGUGGUGGGCAGGCCUAAAUGUUCUUGUGCUGAACUCGGUGUCUCAGAGUGCCUGGUGGCCAGGCUGAGGGAGACCUGCCCUGGGCUUCUUCUCAUAUCAGGCCCUGAGGACCCUGAGUGUUGUGAGACAUGCCCUGUGCUGCCCAUUGAGGCUGGGUUGUUCUGGCCAGUGGCCUGAAGCACGUGGACUUAGUCAUCCAUCCUCUCACUUGUUCCCAAGUGCUUUCCCUGUGUGGUGUCUUGAGGCUGCAGCCUUGAGGCCUGGGAAACAGCACAAUAUGUUCACUGCAGACUGUCUCCUGCCAAGUGACUGUUAGGCAGCCUUUGUGAGACUGCGGUGCCCCAUUACUGCAGGGUUCCAAGUUCUGUUGGGACCUGUCACCAUGGAAGUGAAGUCAUGUGCUGGGGUCCAUAAGAUGAGCCUCCUGGUCUGGUUGGAAAUCAGGCAGCCCAGAGCCUGGCAGAGGUCUGCACAAUGAGGACAGCACAGGCAGGCAAGCCACAUGCCCUGAUGGAGCCCCCAGAGCAGACCUCCCUGGACAGCUGCCCCAUCAGUGGGCCCUCCUUCGUGGAUCCCAAAGGGGCCUGCAUUUUUUCCCCACAGGAGGGCAUGGUGGGAAGGAGCACCUCCAUUCCAAGCUGAAGUCCCAGCGGCAGAGCCUGUGCCAACUGCACCUGCAGGUGCUUCCUCAGCUCUGGCACCACAGCCAGAGCCAGAACCAGGAUUCCCUUGUCCUUUAACUGCACUUCUGGGGCUCCUGGUGGCUUCUCAGAGGUUGUCAGCUCCUGAGAUUCCCCUGGGGCCAGCUCCUGCCCCACACCUGCCAUUCCCCUCUAUUACUGCUGCUCAUGUUUUAUUCUUUACUUUUGUGCUUAUAUUCUGGAUUUUUGUAAAUAAUAGAGCAAUUUUAAAAUAAAAGUUAAGACUUUACUGUUGUUUAAAAU